CCAGAACCCGAUCCGGGAAGGUGAGAACCUUCGACAAGGUUCGCGUCGAGCAACGCGCGACCAACGUUGCCGCAGGCAACGGCCCGUAGGGCGAGCCGCAAUGCGGCGAGUCAUCCUUCCCCCACCACCA
rnacentral:sRNA from 1 species